rnacentral:lncRNA from 1 species
CCCUCGCCUCAGGCGCCGCUUCCGCCGGAAGAACGCGCGGCGACCAAUCAGCGCUCGCAGAGCCUCGCUAAAUCCCGCCCUCCCGGCUGUGGAUUGCGGUUGGGCUCGCCUCCUGCCUCGCGCUGUGCUGACAGCUUCGCUAGCCAAUCAGAGAGCGAGAUGAAGGCUAACCCCGCCCUCCCUGCUUGUCCUGUUAGCCAAUCAUGGGCUGGCUAAGCAACAGAGAGGCGCGCCCACCGCGUGCCCGGCGGCGACCAAUCACAGCCGCAGCUCCCGCUGGGGGGCGUGCCCCGCCCACCACCACCCUCUUACCCAAUCACGCCCGGGGGCAGAGCGGAUUGGCGUGCGCGCGAGCCAAUAGGGAACGAGAGGAGGCGGGGCAGACACGCUUUAUUGAUAUAGGGGAGACCGGGCCAUGACCCCAUUGGGGGGGGGGGGGGGGGACAUUUUGGGGUCCCCCUGCUCUGGGGGUCCCCAGCGGGGGUCCCCGCUUUUUGGGGUGCCCCCAUGGUGUCCGUACCCCCAGGGGAACCCCACUUUGGGGGGUCCCCGCUCUGGGGAUACCCCCCAGGGGGCCCCAUUUUGGGGGGUCCCCUUAUUGGGGUGCCCUAAUUUUGGGGUGUCACCCCCGGGGACCCCUUUUUGGGGUGACCCCGGUGCCCCUGGAUCCCCAGGGGGUUCCCUCGAGUGUGUCCGUACCCCUUGGGGUCUCCCAUUUUUGGGGUGUCCCCAUGUACCCCCAUGGGACAUCAUUUUGGGGCCCCCCCUUUUGGGGGGACCCCAUUUUGGGGUGUCCCCAUUUUGGGGUGUCCCUCGUGGAUUCCUGACACCCCCAUUUUGGGUUUUCCCCAGCCCCUUCAUACCCCAAGGCUCAUCCCCACACUUUUGGGGUUUCCCCAGUCUCUUGGGGAAAAACCCCCAAUUUUUGGGUGUGAGGUCCCCGAAUUUUCAGGGAGAAGCCCCCAAAUUUUUGGGGAGAAGUCCCCAAAUUUUCAAGGAGAAGUCCCCAAAUUUUCAGGGUGAGGUCCCCAAAUUUUCGGGGAGAAGUCCCCAAAUUUUCAAGGAGAAGUCCCCAAAUUUUCAGGGAAAAAUCCCCAAUUCUUCAGGAAAAAGUCCCCAAAUUUUCAGGGUGAGGUCCCCAAAUUUUCGGGGUGGGAUCCCCAGAUUUUUGGGGUGUCCCCCCCCCGUUUUAGGGCUGCAUGCGCAGGGCCCCGUCCAGCCUCACCACCUCCCCGUUGAUCAUCGGGUUUUCGGCCAGCGCCUGCACCAGGUGGGCGAAUUCCCCCGGGUGCCCCAAACGGGACGGGAAGGGCACCUGCUGCCCCAAAAAGUUCCGAACCCGUUCGGGCAAACCGGCCAGCAACGGGGUGGAGAACAACCCUAAAAGGGACAAAAAAAAGGGGGUGAGUCGGUUACCCUAUACCCUUUUCCACCCUAAAAAUAAAGGGGGUGAAGCGUUUGCCCUAUAACUUUUC